UACGGAGGGGGCUAGCGUUGUUCGGAAUUACUGGGCGUAAAGCGCGCGUAGGCGGCUUUGUAAGUUAGAGGUGAAAGCCCAGGGCUUAACCCUGGAAUUGCCUUUAAGACUGCAUCGCUAGAAUCGUGGAGAGGUGAGUGGAACUCCUAGUGUAGAGGUGGAAUUCGUAGAUAUUAGGAAGAACACCAGUGGCGAAGGCGACUCACUGGUCCGGUACUGACGCUGAGGUGCGAAAGCGUGGGGAGCAAACAGG
rnacentral:rRNA from 1 species